AGAAACGUGCCUGAAAAAUAAGGCCCUCCCUGAUGAGGGGGAUCAUAGAGGUUAAAAUCCUCUCGCUUCUU
rnacentral:tRNA from 1 species